AGUGAACGCUGGCGGUAGGCCUAACACAUGCAAGUCGAACGGCAGCACAGUAAGAGCUUGCUCUUACGGGUGGCGAGUGGCGGACGGGUGAGGAAUACAUCGGAAUCUACUUUUUCGUGGGGGAUAACGUAGGGAAACUUACGCUAAUACCGCAUACGACCUACGGGUGAAAGCAGGGGAUCUUCGGACCUUGCGCGAUUGAAUGAGCCGAUGUCGGAUUAGCUAGUUGGCGGGGUAAAGGCCCACCAAGGCGACGAUCCGUAGCUGGUCUGAGAGGGUGAUCAGCCACACUGGAACUGAGACACGGUCCAGACUCCUACGGGAGGCAGCAGUGGGGAAUAUUGGACAAUGGGCGCAAGCCUGAUCCAGCCAUACCGCGUGGGUGAAGAAGGCCUUCGGGUUGUAAAGCCCUUUUGUUGGGAAAGAAAGGCAGCAGGUUAAUACCCCGCUGUUCUGACGGUACCCAAAGAAUAAGCACCGGCUAACUUCGUG
rnacentral:rRNA from 1 species